GUCGAGCGGAUGACGGGAGCUUGCUCCUUGAUUCAGCGGCGGACGGGUGAGUAAUGCCUAGGAAUCUGCCUGGUAGUGGGGGACAACGUUUCGAAAGGAACGCUAAUACCGCAUACGUCCUACGGGAGAAAGCAGGGGACCUUCGGGCCUUGCGCUAUCAGAUGAGCCUAGGUCGGAUUAGCUAGUUGGUGGGGUAAUGGCUCACCAAGGCGACGAUCCGUAACUGGUCUGAGAGGAUGAUCAGUCACACUGGAACUGAGACACGGUCCAGACUCCUACGGGAGGCAGCAGUGGGGAAUAUUGGACAAUGGGCGAAAGCCUGAUCCAGCCAUGCCGCGUGUGUGAAGAAGGUCUUCGGAUUGUAAAGCACUUUAAGUUGGGAGG
rnacentral:rRNA from 1 species